AUUGAACGCUGGCGGCAGGCCUAACACAUGCAAGUCGAACGAGCGGCGGACGGGUGAGUAAUGUCUGGGAAACUGCCUGAUGGAGGGGGAUAACUACUGGAAACGGUAGCUAAUACCGCAUACCAUCAGAUGUGCCCAGAUGGGAUUAGCUUGUUGGUGUGGUAACGGCUCACCAAGGCGACGAUCCCUAGCUGGUCUGAGAGGAUGAUCAGCCACACGGGAACUGAGACACGGUCCAGACGCGUACGGGAGGCAGCAGUGGGGAAUAUUGCACAAUGGGCGAAAGCCUGAUGCAGCCAUGCCGCGUGUAUGAAGAAGGCCGUCGGGUUGUAAAGUACGUUCAGCGGGGAGGCGUUACCAACAGAAGAAGCACCGGCUAACUCCGUGCCAGCAGCCGCGGUAAUAC
rnacentral:rRNA from 1 species